AAUGAAGUUUGAUCCAAGAUA
rnacentral:miRNA from 1 species